UACAGAGGUCUCAAGCGUUGUUCGGAUUCAUUGGGCGUAAAGGGUGUGUAGGUGGCGCGCUAAGUCGGGUGUGAAAGCCUGUGGCUCAACCACAGAAUUGCCUUCGAUACUGCAUGGCUUGAGACCGGAGGAGGUAAGUGGAACUGCGAGUGUAGAGGUGAAAUUCGUAGAUAUUCGCAAGAACACCAGUGGCGAAGGCGGCUUACUGGUCCGGUUCUGACGCUGAGGCGCGAAAGCGUGGGGAGCAAACAGG
rnacentral:rRNA from 1 species